rnacentral:rRNA from 1 species
AGAGUUUGAUCCUGGCUCAGAACGAACGCUGGCGGCGUGGAUAAGACAUGCAAGUCGAACGGGGUUUAGUUUGUAGUAAUACACGCUAAAUCCAGUGGCGAACGGGUGCGUAACACGUGAGUAAUCUGCCGGGAAGUGGGGGAUAGCUCGCCGAAAGGCGAAUUAAUACCGCAUAUGACAAGGAAAGACGUCUUUCCGAAGUCAAAGUCGCAAGACGCUUCCUGAUGAGCUCGCGGCCUAUCAGCUAGUUGGUGAGGUAACGGCUCACCAAGGCAAUGACGGGUAGCUGGUCUGAGAGGACGACCAGCCACACUGGAACUGAGACACGGUCCAGACACCUACGGGUGGCAGCAGUCGAGAAUUUUUCACAAUGGGGGAAACCCUGAUGGAGCGACGCCGCGUGGAGGAUGAAGGUCUUCGGAUUGUAAACUCCUGUCAUGCGAGAACAAGAAAGUGAUAGUAUCGCAAGAGGAAGAGACGGCUAACUCUGUGCCAGCAGCCGCGGUAAUACAGAGGUCUCAAGCGUUGUUCGGAUUCAUUGGGCGUAAAGGGUGCGUAGGUGGCGUGGAAAGUUGAGUGUGAAAUCCUAGGGCUUAACCUUAGAACUGCACUCAAUACUCCCAUGCUAGAGGAAUGUAGAGGAGAGUGGAAUUCACGGUGUAGCAGUGAAAUGCGUAGAUAUCGUGAGGAAGACCAGUUGCGAAGGCGACUCUCUGGGCAUUUCCUGACACUGAGGCACGAAGGCCAGGGGAGCAAACGGGAUUAGAUACCCCGGUAGUCCUGGCAGUAAACGGUGCACGUUUGGUGUGGGCGGGCUCAGACCCCGUCCGUGCCGGAGCUAACGCGUUAAACGUGCCGCCUGGGAAGUACGGUCGCAAGAUUAAAACUCAAAGAAAUUGACGGGGGCCCGCACAAGCGGUGGAGUAUGUGGCUUAAUUCGAUGCAACGCGA